rnacentral:rRNA from 1 species
CUACGGGUUGCUGCAGUGGGGAAUAUUGCACAAUGGGCGCAAGCCUGAUGCAGCCAUGCCGCGUGUAUGAAGAAGGCCUUCGGGUUGUAAAGUACUUUCAGCGGGGAGGAAGGGAGUAAAGUUAAUACCUUUGCUCAUUGACGUUACCCGCAGAAGAAGCACCGGCUAACUCCGUGCCAGCAGCCGCGGUAAUACGGAGGGUGCAAGCGUUAAUCGGAAUUACUGGGCGUAAAGCGCACGCAGGCGGUUUGUUAAGUCAGAUGUGAAAUCCCCGGGCUCAACCUGGGAACUGCAUCUGAUACUGGCAAGCUUGAGUCUCGUAGAGGGGGGUAGAAUUCCAGGUGUAGCGGUGAAAUGCGUAGAGAUCUGGAGGAAUACCGGUGGCGAAGGCGGCCCCCUGGACGAAGACUGACGCUCAGGUGCGAAAGCGUGGGGAGCAAACAGGAUUAGAUACCCGGGUAGUC